rnacentral:rRNA from 1 species
UACGAACCGUCCAAACGUUUAUUCGGAAUUACUGGGCUUAAAGGGUUUGUAGGCGGCCUUGUAAGUGGGGUGUGAAAUCCCUCGGCUCAACCGAGGAAUAGCGCUCCAAACUACAUGGCUUGAGGGAGACAGGGGUAAGCGGAACUGAUGGUGGAGCGGUGAAAUGCGUUGAUAUCAUCAGGAACACCGGUGGCGAAAGCGGCUUACUGGGUCUCUUCUGACGCUGAGAAACGAAAGCUAGGGUAGCGAACGGG